UACGUAGGGGGCUAGCGUUGUCCGGAAUCAUUGGGCGUAAAGCGCGUGUAGGCGGUCCGGUAAGUCCGCUGUGAAAGUCGGGGGCUCAACCCUCGGAUGCCGGUGGAUACUGUCGGGCUUGAGUACGGAAGAGGCGAGUGGAAUUCCUGGUGUAGCGGUGAAAUGCGCAGAUAUCAGGAGGAACACCAAUGGCGAAGGCAGCUCGCUGGGACGUGACUGACGCUGAGACGCGAAAGCGUUGGGAGCAAACAGG
rnacentral:rRNA from 1 species